AAACAGGACAACUAUGAUAGUCUGAGGGGAUGUCUUCUCUAUUAAUUGAUGUUGAAGAUUCCCCAGGGAAGGCUUCUUCUGGGAGUUCUGAGUUCAAGUUGGAAGCUAGUGAAAAAUCUGCUGACUGGACCCGAGACCCUGUUCCUGGUGAACCUGUGAAUUUCAGAAGGCAUGAAGGUCUAUGGUUUCCAGCAUCUGGCACAGUAUCCUUGGGCAAAGAUGAUCAGUGGCAUGCACUAGAAUGUCAGCAGCAAUUGACAAGGAAAACUUCUGUAAAAAGAAUGAAGAUAAAACUUGGCUUUUGAUCAAGCAAUGAUCUCUACAGUCAGGAAAUAUAAAAUGCCCAAUGAGUAAUUUACAACAAUUUGAUGUUUUGAUGUGGUCCAAUUCAUCUGUCCCCCAGACAUAUGUGUUGUUCUUGCUCUUCAGAUGUAUCUGUUUCUUCAUGACCCCAUUUGUGGUUCUCUUGGCAAAGAUACUAAGUGGUUUGCCUUUCUCCUCUAGCUCAUUUGACAGAUGAGGAAACUGGGGCAAACAGGGUUUAAUGACUUGCCUAGGGUCCCACAGCUAGUAAGUGUCUGAGGUCAGAUUUGAACUCAGGAAGAUCAGUCUUCCUGACUCAUUUCAGAACUCUAUCCACUAUUUCACCUAGCCACCCUCCAAUCCAGCUGUAUAUAUACAUAU
rnacentral:lncRNA from 1 species